rnacentral:rRNA from 1 species
ACGUUAGCGGCGGACGGGUGAGUAACACGUGGGUAACCUACCUAUAAGACUGGUAUAACUUCGGGAAACCGGAGCUAAUACCGGAUAAUAUUUCGAACCGCAUGGUUCGAUAGUGAAAGGUGGUUUUGCUAUCACUUAUAGAUGGACCCGCGCCGUAUUAGCUAGUUGGUAAGGUAACGGCUUGCCAAGGCUACGAUACGUAGCCGACCUGAGAGGGUGAUCGGCCACACUGGAACUGAGACACGGUCCAGACUCCUACGGGAGGGCAGCAGCA